CUGUAACGUGAGGAACAACAGCCUGUACUAUAGCAUGCUGUGAUGAUAUCAACCAGCUGUCAUCAUGGCUUCUGAUUUACCAACAUCAGUUUUUGAAAGUUCCUCAUCAGAGUCAGAGAUCAAAAUUGUUCUUCUAGGCGAUACAAGAGUUGACAAGAGUGACAUAGCCAAAUUAAUUCUGGGCUGCAAGACUCUGAAAGGAGAAGAAAUUGGGCUGUGUACUUUAUAUAAGAGUGAAGAAACAGAAAGAAAGAUCAGUGUUGUGGACACACCAGGAUGGAGUCCAAUUUCAAUCGAACAAACAGCAGAGAAUAUAAAAACAGAGAUUGUCAGAUGUGUGUCUCUUUGUCCUCCAGGCCCUGAUGUUCUUCUUCUGGUGAUACCUGUGAAACAAGAACCUUCACCGUAUGAGAUGACAGAAGCACAGAAGCACAUGGAGUUGUUAUCAGAGCGAGUCUGGAAACACACUAUUGUGCUGUUUGAUUGUGAGGAAGAGAUUGAGGAUUCUGUCAUCAACGAACACAUUCAAAGUGCACAGACAAUCCUAGAAAAGUGUAAACGGUUAUGUGUUUAUCGUAGGGGUUUCAAUCAAAUGACAAAUCUCUUUAAUGAAAUAGACGAUCUGGUGAAGAAAAAUGAAGGAGAAUUCUCUAUGGCACAAAUUUAUUAUGAAGAGAUUCAGCCUGAAACUCAAGUGUUUGAUAAGGGAGAGCUCAGACAAAGACGUGGAAGUAAAGAGAUGGACCUUCCUAACCUAAGAAAACGAUUUGACAUGGAGGAAAAGAAAAAAUCUUUCUGUGCUGCCAACCAUGGAGUUUUGAAUGAUCGGACCAUCAAACCUUUCUCAGUGAUAUUGAUGGCUAUAAUUGGAGCUUUGAUUUUUUGCAGGAUCUGAAGAUGGUGCUUUAGGUUUUACUUGCAGUUUGACCAUUUGCAUUUGCACUUACAUUUAUUUAUACUCUUAGUCAAAACCACAUAGUGAUAGUUCGCCGUAACCAGCUUAGUCUCCCAUAAGGAGUGGUAAGGGUUUAAGCAGUUCAAACAAUAGAGAGAAAAGCUUUUUUCCCCCAGAAAUAUUUUUGUCAUUUUAUAACAUCUUGUUAGGUCUGUUUUUUUAACACAUUUUUUUCUCAUUUUACUUACAUUGAACGGGUAAGUCCAAGGAGGCUUCCAUGUCGUUCAGCCAUAUGAAUGAGUAAGGGAUAAUGUAGACGCAGCCGGUAGUUAUCGGGAAAUAAGCCCCGACAGUGUGAUCAGGAUCUGACGCGAAGCGGAGGGUCUUGUAUCACACUGAAGGGGCUUAUUUCCCGAUAACUACCGGCUGCCUCUACAUUAUCCCGCUUAUUACACGGCUACUUGUCACAUAAGAAAAAAAACUGGACGUGAAUAUGAAUUUGAAACAUUUUAUUGGCAUAUUUGUUUUAAAUUAACAUUUUUAUCCUUCCGCGAAACUUUGCACAGAUGCAUAAAAUGAUCGUAAUACCUUAUUAAGAUCCUCUGCUUCAUACUUGUCUGUCUCCAUUUUUUCUCUUUUAGCCAGUCUUUGAGAAGUUUUAAUGCCCAUUCUGUAUUUUUUUGUGUGUUGGCUUCGUAGCUGUCAUGCUCUUUUUUGUCAAGUUCAGUCUCAGUAAGCUGUCUGUGUCUUGUCGUGGUUGUCCAGUGUCACAAAAUGCCGCCAAACAGUAAUCUUUAUUGAUCUUUAUUGGCGCGGAGCGAUUUUACUCGUACAAGUAGUACCGGCUAUGCGUUAUUACUUUGGAGCAGUUAUUAUUUGAAAAGAACGAACCUGCAAAUGUCUCAACUGACCAAUCAGAAUCAAGCAUUCCAGAGAGCCGUGUAAUAAACUAUAAUAACAGAGAGGGACAAAAAGCACUAGCCUACCAACGCGUUUCCACAACGCGUUUUUGUCACAAGGUGACGAUCUUUUCAGGGGCGGAACCAAAGUAGGGAAAAAGUUGGUUCCGCCCGGAAGUGUUUCCACCCGGACCGGAAAAGAUGGACACCGGAACUUCCGGUAGCGCCGCGGGAGGAGAAAUCAACAAAUCAAGCGCAGCUGUGUGUAGUUAACAAGAGCGGCUGGUGAUUGGAGGACACGCUGAACAAGGCAGUAUUUAAGACCAGCUUAAAUCACAGUUUGGGUGUUGUUGUGUGCAGUGUUGAAGUGCUGCGUUGUAUCCGUCUGGUACGCUGGUUGUGGGCUGUUAAUCUCUCUCUCUCAGGCUGAAGCUUAUAUGGCUGUGUGGACUUUGUGAACCUUAUUGGUUGAAGGAAGAACGGAAGCGUUGGAAACUGAAACACAACAAAGGAGAGGAAACGGAGUAUAGCGGAUACCUCCUAAGGAAGGAGGGCGGCCCUACCCCUAAGAUAGUGUGGUGGGUGAGCCGAAGGAAAAUUGGCUGAAGCUAGUCACAGCGACGAAACUACCGACUAGACCGUAUUAUCCAUCGCCGAACAGACCUCGGCGAAGUGGAGGAAGACGGGCGUCCUAUGUGUACACUUGAGUGUAGUGGGUGAGUCUUUGUGCUGUGGAAACUUUCACUUUGACGUGGUGCUGUGUAUUGCUGUGUAUUGCUGUGUGUCUCGUCAGACAAACCCCCGCCUUCACACACCUCGUCGAGGGAGGACGAAGAGGCUGCCGGUUCUAGUGAAUCCAGUCAAAUAUAUGUUGUGAAUACGCUUCAGGCCUAUAGUAACGGUGUGGUGCCCCGGAACGAUUUCCCGUCUUGACAUUUGGGUGGAUUAAAAUGUGGCGGUGAAGAGCUGGAGGAUUUGCGGAUGUGUGAGUACGACCAGGGGUCACUGUUGUUGAUGCCUUCAUCUGUGUAAUACUUACCGUUGCAGAGAGAGAGGUGUAGUAAAUCCCGCCUGUCCCGAGGUCUCUACAAAGGGGCGCCCCUGUCCGGUGUUCGACCGCCCAACUGGUAGCGAGGAGAGGGCAGCGCUCGGCCCGGUAAAACAGUGCGACGUGUUCACCCCUCUGCAUCCACCGAGCUCGUCGAGAGGGUUCGCCCCCGACGCUACAUUGGAACUGCUUGCUCCGUCGUAAGUCCGCCACCCUGUUUAAUCCGAAUCAAUCUAUCUAAGUCAUCUGAUUGACAGGAACAGAGAACGUGCUGUACAGAAUUGGAACGUGUGGAGCACCACGAGAGGAACAACCAUUGUCCACCCCGUACUUAUUGUACGUUGUAUCCAGUGGAGAGGUGAGAAUAAACCAGUCCAGAGUAAUUGUGUUUUGUGUCCCCGCCAUUACCUGUAGAGAGGAAGAGAGAGAGAGAGUGAGCGACACCAAGGGAAGCUGUGUGCAGCCCGUACGUACCAUACGUUGAAUCCAGCGGAGAGUUGAGAACAGACCAAGUCCAAAUAACUGUGUCUCUGUGUCCCAGCUACUGCCUGUGGAGAAAGAGAGAGCGAGAGUGAGCGACACGAGAAGAAGUCGUGUGCAUCCCGUACUUACGUACCGUACGUUGAAUCCAGCGGAGAGGUGAGAACAGGCCAAGUCCAAAUAACUGUGUCUCUGUGUCCCAGCUGCUGCCUGUGGAGAGAGAGAGAGAGAGAGAGAGAGUGAACGACACGAGUAGAAACUGUGUUCACCCCGUGCUUACUGUACGUCAUAUCCAGCGGAGAGGUGAGAACAGACAAGUCCAAAUAACUGUGUCUCUGUGUCCCAGCUGCUGCCUGUGGAGAAAGAGAGAGAGAGAGAGAGUGAACAACACGAGUAGAAACUGUGCUCACCCCGUGCUUACUGUACGUCGUAUCCAGCAGAGAGGUGAGAACAUACCAGUCCCAGCUAACUGUGUCCUUGUGUCCAGCCUGUAGUCGGCGGAGCAAGGAAGAGGAGAUCGCCGCCUGUGGAGAAAGAGAGAGAGAGAGAGAGAGAGAGAGAGAGAGAGAGAGAGAGAGAGAGAGAGAGAGAGAGAGAGAGAAGAAGGAAGGAACCCUAUACUUACCCGACUCCAUUUCAAGUGAAGGCGAGGGGAGGUCCCUCGCAGUUGGUAGUGACCGACUCCCUGUGUCUGCAGCCACCUGUAGGAAAAGGAGAGGAAAGAGAUACAUGUGAGAUAGAGGAACAUUGUUACCACCACCCCCCCAGAACACGCACGGAGGGAAAACCCCACAAGGAGAAAGAUCGGAAAGCUGUGAAGGAGGUGCUGCCCGGCCUUCGCAGAGUCAGCGUGCCUCACAUCACCCUGACCUCAGACGCUCGUAGGCGGCCGAGGAGUACUGCGAGCCAGCACCCGUCUCGAUGCAGCUUCACGGACCGCGUUCAGGCGAACGGAGACGCCAUCGCCCAGCAUGAAAACGGUAAGACUCCGCUUGUCAUUGUAACCUGCACUACUUGCCACAUGUACAGUUUAGCUUCUUCCGUCAGCAUAGAGGGGUUUACAUGUGCUAAGUGUAUUGAAGUAGUAAGGCUGACGGAGAAGGUUGCUGAACUAGAAGCGCGCAUCCGAACGCUAGUUGAGGACAGUAAGACCGCUAAUGUUAAUGUUACAAACACUGUUUCGGGUGCGCCUAGUGUUAAGCGUAAUACACAUGGCUCGGUUCCGACUUCAGAGUCAAGGCGGCUGACUAACUGGGUGACUGUCAGGCGGCAUAGUCACAUUCGGCACCCAAAUCACGCUCCUGUUUUAAUAUCAAACAGAUUUUCUCCACUCAGCAAUACACCGGCUGAGACGUCUGUUAAAAGUGCCCUGUUUAUUGGAGAUUCUAUACUCAGGAACGUUGACAUUGAGGCACCAGCUACCAUAGUCGACUGUAUACCGGGAGCCAGAGCGUCUGACAUUAGAUCCAAAUUAAAAGUGCUGGCUAAUGCUAAAUGUAAGUUUUCUAAGAUUGUUAUUCACGCCGGCACGAAUGACACCAGACUCCGCCAGUCGGAGAUCACCAAAGAUACUAUUAAAGAGGUGUGUGAAAUUGCAAAAACAAUGUCAGACAAUGUAAUUUGCUCUGGUCCCCUCCCCGCCUACCGGGGGGAUGAAACUUACAGUAGAUUAGUGUCUCUUCAUGGCUGGAUGUCAAAGUGAUGCCCUAAGCAUAACGUAGGGUUUAUAGACAAUUGGAAGCAUUUCCGGGGAAGACCUGACCUGCUAAAGAGAGAUGGCCUCCAUCCGUCUCCGGAAGGUAGUGCUAUACUCUCUAGAAAUCUGACCAAUAGUCUUACUUUUGAUAUUGUCUGACUAUCCAGGGCCCAGGUCAGGAAACAGACAGAUCGGCUUACCCAUCAGUCUGUUAGCUGCCUUGACAUGUCAAGAUCACAUAUAUCCCAGCACAUAGAGCCUUUUUUACCAGAGUACCAACACAUCUCGACUGUGUCUGUUCCUCGAACAAAUAAAUACAGAGCACCGUUUACCUCGUCUCGUACAAAUCUUAUUAACAUAAAAUUAGAACACAAUACAUUAAAAGAUGAAACUCAAAUGUUAAAAUUCGGCCUUCUUAACAUUAGAUCGCUUACCAAUAAAGAACCUAUUAUCAAUGAAAUAAUUACUGACCAAAACUUAGAUGCACUCUGUUUAACAGAGACCUGGCUUAAAGCAGACGAUUACAUCAGUUUAAACGAAUCCACCCCACAAGACUAUUAUUAUAAACACGUUCCUCGUCUAAAAUGGAGAGGGGGUGGUGUAGCUACAAUAUACAACAAAAUGUUCAAAGUAAACCAUAAAUCAGAACUAAAAUUUAAUUUGUUUGAAAUAAUACUGUUAAACAUGGAAAUAACUGAUCGUAACAACAAACAGCUUUCGUUCAUUUUAGCUACCAUAUAUAGGCCUCCGGGCCACCACACAGAUUUUCUUAAAGAAAUAGCAGACUUCCUAUCUGAGCUUACAGUCACUGUAGACAAAGCUCUUAUCGUUGGUGAUUUUAACAUCCAUGUGGAUAACUCAAAAGAUGCAUUAGGACGUGCGUUUAUGGAUGUUCUAAAUUCUCUCGGUAUUAAACAAAACGUGUCUGGACCCACGCAUACUCGUAAGCACACAUUAGACUUAAUUCUGUCACUCGGACUCAAUAUUAAUGACAUCGAAAUAUCACCCCAGAGCGAUGCCGUUUCAGACCAUUGCCUUGUGUCAUACACAAUACUUCUAGAUAGGACCGUUCAGUCUACAACAUGCUACAGAUUCGCCAGAACAAUAAUUUCCACCACUAAAGAUAGCUUUAUUAGCACUCUUCCAGACCUGUCUCAAAUGAAACAUGUAGCAGAUAACCGUGAAGAUCUGGAUAUUAUAAUAGAAAACCUGAACAACGUUUGCUCUAGCACGAUGGAUGCCGUUGCUCCCAUACGAAAAAAGAGAAUCAAAGAAAAAACGCCAGCUCCAUGGUAUGACCAUCAUACUGCAGCCCUUAAAAAAGUAGCUAGAAAAAUGGAAAGAAACAACCGAAACACAAAGUUAGAGGUAUGGCGUUCAGCAUGGAAAGAGAGUGUUCAACACUACAGACAGGCUAUUAAAACCGCCAGAUCUACCUAUCUCAGUACGCUUAUUAAAGAAAAUCAUAACAACCCUCGUUUCCUCUUUAGCACAGUUGCGAAACUGACUAGAAACAAAGAACAAACAGAAACCAAUAGUAAAUUCCAACACAAUAGUAACGAUUACAUGAACUUCUUUACUAACAAAAUUAUUUCUAUUAGGGAAAACAUAGAAACUACGCAAGCAGCCACCACUCUACCCAAUAGUACAUUGACCACUAGAUUAUCAUACGAACAUCUUGAGUCAUUUAAACCUACUACAAUAGAAGAGCUCUCUAAAUUAGUAACGUCAUCUAAAUCAUCGUCCUGUAUAUUAGACCCCAUUCCCACAAAAUUACUAAAAGAGGUAUUUCAUGUAGUGUCCGACACGGUACUAAAUAUCUUUAACUCAUCGCUAGAAUUAGGAUACGUUCCAACAGCUUUCAAACUAGCAGUUAUUAGACCGCUCAUUAAAAAACCAAACCUUGACCAGGGAGAUCUUAAUAACUUUAGACCAAUCUCAAAUCUACCGUUUUUUUUCUAAAAUAUUAGAAAAAGUAGUGGCCAGCCAGCUACGCACAUUCAUAGCGAAUAAUAAUACAUAUGAAAAGUUCCAAUCAGGAUUCAGGCCCCACCAUAGCACAGAAACAGCGCUGCUUAGAGUUACAAAUUACCUCCUAUUAACAUCCGAUCGUGGUGAAAUCUCAAUCCUUAUAUUACUAGACCUUAGUGCAGCAUUUGACACAAUAGACCACAGAAUCCUACUCAAUAGACUAGAAAACUAUGUUGGCAUCAGUGGUCAGGCGUUAGCCUGGUUUAGAUCGUAUCUAACCAAUUGAUAUCACUUUGUUUAUGUAAAUGAGGAAGAGUCCUAUCACUCCCCCGUUAAAUACGGCGUACCUCAGGGAUCAGUUCUAGGCCCUAUCCUAUUCUCGUUAUAUAUGUUACCUCUAGGAGACAUUAUCAGGAAACAUAACAUAAGUUUUCACGGCUAUGCGGAUGAUACCCAGCUUUACAUCUCAUCACAUCCUAGCGAAACCCACCAGUUUGCUAAGCUAACAGACUGCAUUAGUGAUAUUAGGGACUGGAUGGCACAUAACUUUCUUAUGCUAAACUCCAAUAAGACAGAGAUACUUAUUAUUGAACCAAAUCGCUCCAAACAUAAUAUGUCAGAUUACAAGUUGCCCAUAGAUGGCUGCACGGUGGUGCCAUCUUCCACGGUUAAGAAUUUAGGCGUAAUGUUUGACAGCAAUCUAUCUUUCGAUAGUCAUAUCUCCAACGUCUGCCGCACAGCAUUCUUCCAUCUUAGAAAUAUCUCAAAAAUACGCCAUAUGCUGUCUGCAUCAGAUGCAGAAAAGCUUAUCCAUGCUUUAAUGACCUCUAGAAUAGACUAUUGUAACUCGUUACUCGGGGGAUGCCAUGCAAAUCAGGUAAACAAGCUUCAGCUAGUUCAAAAUGCCGCCGCAAGAGUGCUUACUCGAUCUAAAAAGUAUGACCACAUUAGUCCAAUUCUGGCAUCUUUACACUGGCUACCAGUUAAAUAUCGCAUACAAUUUAAAAUAUUACUAAUCACCUACAAAGCCUUAAAUGGCCUAGCGCCCUAGUAUAUUAAAGAACUACUAUCAGAAUACAAUCCACCACGUAAACUGCGAUCACAAAAUUCUGGUUACUUAAUUAUCCCUAGAAUAUCAAAAGUGUCUAAAGGUGGUAGAUCCUUUUCCUACUUAGCCCCUAAGCUCUGGAAUGAUUUACCAAAUAAUGUUCGAGUAUCAGACACAGUCGAACAAUUUAAAUCUAAACUUAAGACAUUCUUCUUUAACAAAGCAUUCACAUAGAAUGUCCAGUAAAUGUACUUUUCCCGCAGUAGUUAUUUUGUCUAGAGGCACUCACAUACCUCAUAUGGGUAAUUUACUCUUGCCGCAAUAGUUAGCCUGUCUGGAACCGAGCUGAAUUAAACCACUAUAAUGUAUGACACUUGCAUUACAUGUGAACGGCCCCUACGCUAAUAGAAUUCUGUUUUUGUCUCCCUGUCUCGUCCUCGACCCUGAGGACAAUGAGACAAACAGACCCAGUUCCUGUUGCUGUGAAGGUCAUCACACCACUGAUCUACUGGCUGUCCUUCAACGUGACGCCCAACCGAUGCGCGACCAACGGCCACCGGCUGAACCAGUUUAAUCUGCUUACACGCUUCCUAUCCCUACCGUGUCUAUAUAUUAUAAAUAUAAAUAUAAAUUUCUCCCUAGGGAUUUUUGUCCUUCUAGGAGUUUUUCCCACCGGGUUUUCUCCUAGGGGGGUUUUUUAGUCCCAGGGAGAGUCAGCCAACUUUGGCUUAACUUAGCACUUUACUGUAUACGUUACAUUAUUAAUAUGCUCGCUUACACGGUUUUUUAUCCUUAGCCGCUAUAUUCUACUUCUUAUACUAUGUAUUGAUUUUCAAUGUUCUCCUCUUCAUCUGCUCAUGUAAAGCUGCUUUGCAACAAUUAACAAUUGUGAAAAGCGCUAUAUAAAUAAAAUUGAAUUGAAAAAUUGAA